AACGUAGGACGCAAGCGUUAUCCGGAGUUACUGGGCGUAAAGGGCAGGUAGGCGGGCCGCUAAGUUGGGUGUGAAAUCUCCCAGGCUUAACCGGGAGGGUGCAUCUGAGACUGACGGUCUGGAGGGCGGCAGAGGAGCGUGGAAUUCCGGGUGGAGUGGUGAAAUGCGUAGAGAUCCGGAGGAACACCAGAGGCGAAAGCGGGGCUCUGGGCCGCACCUGACGCUGAACUGCGAAAGCCAGGGGAGCGAACGGG
rnacentral:rRNA from 1 species